UGCAAGUCGAGCGAACCUCUUCGGAGGUUAGCGGCGGACGGGUGAGUAACACGUGGGUAACCUGCCUGUAAGACUGGGAUAACUUCGGGAAACCGAAGCUAAUACCGGAUAAGUUUUCAAACCGCAUGGUUUGAAAUGGAAAGAUGGUUUCGGCUAUCACUUACAGAUGGACCCGCGUCGCAUUAGCUAGUUGGUGAGGUAACGGCUCACCAAGGCGACGAUGCGUAGCCGACCUGAGAGGGUGAUCGGCCACACUGGGACUGAGACACGGCCCAGACUCCUACGGGAGGCAGCAGUAGGGAAUCUUCGGCAAUGGGCGAAAGCCUGACCGAGCAACGCCGCGUGAGUGAUGAAGGCCUUCGGGUCGUAAAACUCUGUUGUCAGGGAAGAACAAGUACGAGAGUAACUGCUCGUACCUUGACGGUACCUGAUUAGAAAGCCACGGCUAACUACGUGCCAGCAGCCGCGGUAAUACGUAGGUGGCGAGCGUUAUCCGGAAUUAUUGGGCGUAAAGCGCGCGCAGGCGGUCUUUUAAGUCUGAUGUGAAAGCCCACGGCUCAACCGUGGAGGGUCAUUGGAAACUGGGAGACUUGAGUGC
rnacentral:rRNA from 1 species